GGAAGGCGUAAAAAUGGGCUUUUCCGGACUUUUGGCAGACGCUAGAGCCCCGCGCGGGCUGGGUUAGCAGGGUGUUUGUGCCGCGCGGGCGGUUUAAUUUGGAAGAAAAAGGAGAGUUUAAGCCCAAGCGGAGUCGGAGAGAGGGAGCACAGCUCGCGUUGAGCUCGGUCGUCCCCUAAGGAGCCGUUCGGAAAAGCUGGGUUAGUCCCGGACCGGCCAGUUAAGUGUCUGCUGGGGGGGGGAAAAAAGCCUAAAUUCACCCCAAAACCCCCGAGGGGCUCGUGGUGCGCUUGUCGGCGGGGCAAAUGCUUUGCAGGGAGGAUGGUUUGUUUUGUGGGGGGGGAGGGGGGCGUAACAUGAUGUAUUUUCAGGUUUUUCUCCACAAAGUGCCAAAAAAACGCAAAAAACAAAAAAAGUAAGUUUAGGAAUGAGAGAGGAAAAACAAUACAAAAAAAAAAACAGGAAAAAACUAACCCAAACUAUAAUCAAAAUCCUCAGCAUCGACUUUGCCGUUUUUGCAGAUGCUCCUUGCCGGCCCCGAGCGACCCGGCGCCCUAAAAACCCGCCGCGGGAGCCACUAAGCAAAGGGCGGCCCCGGCCUCGUAGCUCUUAACGACCCCAUGGGAGACGCGUAACGAGGUUCCGCCAAAAUCGUAUCUCCGCACGGAAAGGCAGCCCGAUACCGCGGGCGGACGGCGAGCGCCGCAGGCGCCGAGUGCCCAGGGGAGGAUUUGAGCUCGGAAAGGGCCCGACCGGGAGGCCCGGCGGGCGGCCGCCCUUCUCUAACGGCCUAAUUCUCGUUGACGAACGAGCGAGGAGCUCUGCGGCAGUUGGGCGCAGAUUGAGAACAAAUAACGUCAACAAAAAAGCGCCAAAAAAGAAAAAAAUUUUAUAUAUAUAUAUAUAAAAAAAAAAAGGCGAUGCAUAUUCACACUGCUUCUACCAAAAUUGGUGCUGAUGUUGCUCAAUGGAUCGGACGAUGGCACCCGGGAUGCUCGCAGUUGGCAGCGAUUUGGGAUCAGCUGUGGCGAGGAGGAGGAUUUGGGAUGUGCCCCCAUUGGCCUCAGGCAGGUUUCUCAGCUUAAGGAGGAAUUUUGCUUCACUUCA
rnacentral:lncRNA from 1 species